UACGUAGGGUGCGAGCGUUAAUCGGAAUUACUGGGCGUAAAGCGUGCGUAGGCGGUUCUCCAAGUCCGUUGUGAAAGCCCCGGGCUCAACCUGGGAGUGGCAGUGGAAACUAGGGGACUGGAAUCUGGCAGAGGGGGGUGGAAUGCCGCGUGUAGCAGUGAAAUGCGUAGAGAUGCGGCGGAACACCGAUGGCGAAGGCAGCCCCCUGGGCUGAGAUUGACGCUCAGGCACGAAAGCGUGGGGAGCAAACAGG
rnacentral:rRNA from 1 species